CGCUCUUGUUGUCCAGGCUGGAGUGCAAUGGCGUGACCUUGGCUCACCGCAACCUCCACCUCCUGGGUUCAAGUGAUUCUCCUGCCUCAGCCUCCCGAGUACCUGGAAUUACAGGCAUGUGCCACCAAGCUUGGCUAAUUUUGUAUUUUUAGUAGAGACGUGGUUUCUCCAUGUUGGUCAGGCUGCUCUCGAACUCCUGACCUCAAGUGAUCUGCCUGCCUCAGCCUCCCAAAGUGCUGGGAUUACAGGUGUGAGCCACCACACCUGGCCUACAAAGAUAUCUUGAUUGCUCUUCCAAUUCAACUUUCCAUUUGCAAAAGCCUCUAAUAUUUCAAAAUUCUGAGUUUCUUCUGACAAAAUUGGGGUAAUCUGAAACAGGUAAUGAACAAAUCACAGAAAAAUAGAGCUGGAAAGGAAUACAGGGAUUAUCUCAUCCAGCCAUCUAAGAGAACAGAAAAGAUAAAAAUAAUAAAUAAAUAAAUAAAUAGCUCUGGGAUGUAGUCUUUCUGGCUAAACAGCUUCCCCAUGAGGAAGUUGCAGCACUUAAACUUUUGACUCCUGUAGGCACAGCAGUGCAUGCCUGUAGUCCCAGCUACUCCUGAGGUGGGAAGAUCACUUGAGCCCAAGAAGUCCUGGACUAUAGUACACGAUGCCAAUCGGGUGUCUGCACUAAGUUCAGCAUCAGUAUGGUGACCUCCUGGGAGUGGGGGACCACCAGGUUGCCUAAGGAUGGGUGAACCAGUCCAGGCAGAAACUGAACAGGUCAAAACUCCUGUGCUGAUCAGUAGUGGGAUUGUGACUGUGAAUAGGCAUUGCACUCCAGCCUGGAUGACAUAGUGAGAUCCUAUCUCUAAGAAUAGAGAGAGAGAGAGAGGGAACUAAACUUAUCACUCCAAGCCAAAUUCCCUUUCCUCACAGGCCUCUCAUUAAUGUUGGAAAAUGCCGGGUCCUCUGUACAACUUUCUGUUUCCUACAGUUGCCUGGCCUCUAUUUGUUUUUGUCAUGUCAUAUUCCUCAACUGUUCUAAUUGGAGUGGAGCUGUGGUCAUCUAUUGUUAUAGUAGUAAUACUGAACAUUGCCAUCAUUUUUAUUAAGUGAUUCUUACUUGCCACAGCAGUAUUGUAUUUUCCCCAUGCAAAUAUCAUGUGUGAUAGGUUCAACUGUGACCCCCUAAAAAAUCUGUUCAAAUCCUAACCCUUAGUGCCUAUGAAUGUAACCUUAUUUGGAAAUAAGGUUUCUGCAGAUGUAAUUACGUUAAGAUGAGGACACACUGGAUUAGGGUGUGCUCUAAGGUGACUGUCCUUACAAUAGGUGAGGACUUGAGUGACGCAGGUACAAGCCAAGAAACACCAAGGGUGGCCAGCAGCCACCAGAAGCUGGAAAAGGUGAGGAAAGAUGCUUCCCGAGAGCCUUCAAGGAGUAUGGCCCUGCUGAUGCCUUGAUUUUGGACUUCUGGCCUCCAAAACUGCCAGAGAAUAAAUUUCUGUUGUUUUAAGCCACUGAAUUUGUGGAACUUGUUAAGGCAGCCCAAGGAAACCAACACACUCCAUGAGAUGGUUAUUAAUUCUCAUUUUACAGAUGAAGAAACUGAGGUUUAUAGAGAUUAAAGAUUUGCUUGAAGACUUAACAGCCAUGAGAACUAAAUCAACGUGUAGGUUUUGUUUGAAUCCUAUAAAAAGGCCAUUUUUGAGAUAAUCAAUGAAAUUU
rnacentral:lncRNA from 1 species